GCCGCGGUGGCCUAGAGGUUAGAGCGUUCGCCCCGCAUGCGGAAGGCCGGGGUUCGAAUCCCGGCCGCGACA